rnacentral:misc_RNA from 1 species
GGGCACACCUCGGCGCGCCGCAUCAGGGCUCAGUGGCCCCACUCUGUGUGUGAAGGGGACAAGCAGGCCCCUUCCCCCCUAUGCCUGCCAAUGCCGGUCCACCUCCGGUGGCGGCAGGGUCAAGCGCCCGCGACGCAGCGAAGUGAGAGCGAUGUAUUGCUGCUGGUGUAUGGGCGGUCAGGUCCUGGAUGGCGCUGCUUUGCCCGACGCGAUGGGGGCCUGUGUGAGCGGCCGGGGUCACGUGGCGUUCAGCUCACGUUGUAUGGUGGCAUGGACAUGCUGAGCCGCAAGGCAGUGUUGUUUGGCAUGCGCAGUGUCUUGUUGAUGGGCACGAGCCGUUGGGGUGGUUGACCUCGCGCAUCUUUGUGUCCUCUCUAAAGUGGAUGCCACCUGGCUUUUGCUUUUCCUAUGCGCCGCGACGUGACCCGGAUGCACGCACGCAUCAUCACCGCUGGCUGAGUUCUCACGAGACUCUCGGCUCUUGAUGGGGCAUGAGGGCCUCUGUGUGUGUGUGUGUGUGCGUUCUCACUUCCACUGGUCCUUUCCUUACCCUCCUUUCUCAGCGUACAGUGAGCAUCGUUGGGGCCCACGUGGACACCAAGACAAGCAUGUGAGCGCGUCUGCGAAGAUGUCGCGAUGCUGGCAGCGGUCGCAACAGUUGCGCCUCUCUUGCCGCCCCUCGUUGAGCCGCCGAUGCUUGUGUGCGUGUGUGUGUGUGUGUGUGUGUGUGUGUG